UCCAUCCAUCCCUCGUUGCGGUGGGGCCGCGGGGAGCAGCGGACGCUGGAAACCACAUCUGGCUUUGACUUUCUCAGCAGCAGAUCAGGAUCCCGAGGCCCUUUGCUACAAGACACCUGCACCUUUCAGUGUGGCAGCCUUGAUGUAAAUAGGUAACACACUUUGCUUGAAUCAGUGGAGCAGCUCCUGGCAGCAAAGCCAAGACCGUAAGUCCGUGCUGGAUUGCACCCAAGGGGAGGGUGAUCGGGUCGGCACAGGCUUUCCUCGGGAUAGGGACACACAGGGACAGCUCACCGCAGCUUUCAGAGACCCAGGAAGUGUCAUGAGAUGUCUCGGCGACCUGCAAAAAUUCAGUAUGCAGCAAGGCAGCUGGAGUAGUUCUAUUGACUCUGCUGUCAUCAAAUGAGUCAGCGGCAAGUCACAGUCUUGUAUGUCAGCAGGGAGUGGCGCGCCAGGAAACCAGCCACAAAAGUGGGGGGGGGGAAAGCAAAGAACCCCCCGAGAAUUCGAACCGUAAUUGACUGCUUUUAGAAGUUUCUAGUACUUUCAAAUGGCCGGUAAAAUCCUGUGUGUCGGCACAGAGUUCGCUGUCCCUGUGCCACAUCGCAUCGCGUGUGAGCACCCUCAGCCGCUCCGGGCGCAGGCUGUGCAGAAUCGAAUCCCACCAAGCCCAGAGCCCCGGCUCUGCCCGCCACCCUGCACAGCUCUGCAGGCCCGGCGAGGGCUCACCCAGCCGUGGCUGCCUCCACCCGUGGCCGGUAUACGGCUGGCAGCCUGAUCUGUGUCGCCUGAGUGGGGCUGUGGUGCGGGUGGCUGGAGGGCAGCGCUCCUGUUCCUACUGCGGGUUUCAUUUGUCUGUGGGGCGAGGGGUCUGCACCCCGGCCGGGAACCAGCUCCAGCCCAGCUGCACUCCUGCCCGUGCCCGGGGGCCGCGCCCCAGCCCCGCCCGGCACCUCGGCCAGGUGAGUGUCGGCCCAGCGCGGCCCCCGUUCAUCAAGGGCUCUGCCACG